rnacentral:rRNA from 1 species
AUUGAACGCUGGCGGCAGGCCUAACACAUGCAAGUCGAACGGUAACAGGAAGACGCUUGCUUCUUUGCUGACGAGUGGCGGACGGGUGAGUCAUGUCUGGGAAACUGCCUGAUGGAGGGGGAUAACUACUGGAAACGGUAGCUAAUACCGCAUAACGUCGCACGACCAAAGAGGGGGACCUUCGGGCCUCUUUCCAUCGGAUGUGCCCAGAUGGGAUGAGCUAGUAGGUGGGGUAACGGCUCACCUAGGCGACGAUCCCUAGCUGGUCUGAGAGGAUGACCAGCCACACGGGAACAGAGACACGGUCCAGACGCCUACGGGAGGCAGCAGUGGGGAAUAUUGCACAAUGGGCGCAAGCCUGAUGCAGCCAUGCCGCGUGUAUGAAGAAGGCCUUCGGGUUGGAAAGUACUUUCAGCGGGGAGGAAGGGAGUAAAGUUAAUACCUUUGCUCAUUGACGUUACCCGCAGAAGAAGCACCGGCUAACUCCGUG